UACGUAGGGGGCAAGCGUUGUUCGGAAUUACUGGGCGUAAAGGGCGCGUAGGCGGCCUGUUAAGUCGAACGUGAAAUCCCCGGGCUCAACCCGGGAACUGCGUCCGAUACUGGCAGGCUUGAAUCCGGGAGAGGGAUGUGGAAUUCCAGGUGUAGCGGUGAAAUGCGUAGAUAUCUGGAGGAACACCGGUGGCGAAGGCGGCAUCCUGGACCAACACUGACACUGAUGAGCGAAAGCCAGGGGAGCAAACGGG
rnacentral:rRNA from 1 species